rnacentral:rRNA from 1 species
GAUGAGCAUGCGUCCAAUUAGCUAGUUGGUGAGGUAACGGCUCACCAAGGCUACGAUUGGUAGGGGUUCUGAGAGGAUGAUCCCCCACACUGGUACUGAGACACGGACCAGACUCCUACGGGAGGCAGCAGUGAGGAAUAUUGCGCAAUGGACGGAAGUCUGACGCAGCCAUGCCGCGUGAAGGAUUGAAGGUCCUAUGGAUUGUAAACUUCUUUUGUAUGGAAAUAAACUUCCGGACGUGUCCGGAACUGAAGGUACCAUAAGAAUAAGCACCGGCUAACUCCGUGCCAGCAGCCGCGGUAAUACGGAGGGUGCAAGCGUUAUCCGGAUUUAUUGGGUUUAAAGGGUCCGUAGGCGGACGUUUAAGUCAGUGGUGAAAGCCCUCUGCUCAACAGAGGAAUUGCCAUUGAUACUGAAUGUCUUGAGUACGAGUGAAGCUGGCGGAAUGUGCAGUGUAGCGGUAAAAUGCUUAGAUAUUGCACAGAACACCAAUUGCGAAGGCAGCUGGCUAACUCGAAACUGACGCUGAGGGACGAAAGUGUGGGGAUCAAACAGGAUUAGAU